rnacentral:lncRNA from 1 species
ACAGGUGCACUCAGAAAUGAUGAACCGAAUGUAUGGGCAGUCUGUAACCUAACCAAGCUGACAUGAGAUCAUCACAAGAGCCCAUCUGUGAGAGAGCCCUAAGGGACCCUGGAGGAGAACACCAGCUAAUUGGAGGCUCUGCAUAAAGGAGUACAUUCUGUUUACAGCAAGAAGACCAUGAAGCCUCUCCUCCUGACAAGAUGAAGAAAGUGGGUGUUAUUUUGCAACUGAGGGUCAAGGGAAAACAAAAAAAAUGUUCAGCACAGUUUGGAAGAAAAUCAUCAACUGUACCUUCUGAACUGUAACACUGGUCAGGUUGAGCUUAACAAGCUUUAAAGUGCUUUUUAAAAUAAACCAAAUUAUUAAACUAUUGA